rnacentral:rRNA from 1 species
CAGCCGCGCGGUAACACAGAGGGUGCGAGCGUUAAUCGGAUUUACUGGGCGUAAAGCGUGCGUAGGCGGCUUUUUAAGUCGGAUGUGAAAUCCCUGAGCUUAACUUAGGAAUUGCAUUCGAUACUGGGAAGCUAGAGUAUGGGAGAGGAUGGUAGAAUUCCAGGUGUAGCGGUGAAAUGCGUAGAGAUCUGGAGGAAUACCGAUGGCGAAGGCAGCCAUCUGGCCUAAUACUGACGCUGAGGUACGAAAGCAUGGGGAGCAAACAGGAUUAGAUACCCCCGUAGUCCCUGUCUCUUAUACA